rnacentral:lncRNA from 1 species
CACAGUAUUCUUGGACAAUUAAUGGGAAGUUUCAGCUAUCAGGACAAAAGCUCUUUAUCCCUCAGAUUACUCCAAAGCAUAAUGGGCUCUAUGCUUGCUCUGCUCGUAACUCAGCCACUGGCGAGGAAAGCUCCACAUCCUUGACAAUCAGAGUCAUUGGUCCCUGCCAUGGAGAUCUGACAGAGUCUCAUUCAUGACUGCCACAACAGAGACACUGAGAAAAAGAUGCAACCAUGAAAAGGUGCAAAGGUGACAAGUUCCAAUGACAUAGAAAAUAGCAAUCAGCCUUUCUCACGUCUGAAAGCCUUCCAAAAUAC